rnacentral:rRNA from 1 species
AUUGAACGCUGGCGGCAUGCCUUACACAUGCAAGUCGAACGGUAACGCGGGGCAACCUGGCGACGAGUGGCGAACGGGUGAGUAAUGCAUCGGAACGUGCCCAGUAGUGGGGGAUAGCCCGGCGAAAGCCGGAUUAAUACCGCAUACGACCUACGGGUGAAAGCGGGGGAUCGCAAGACCUCGCGCUAUUGGAGCGGCCGAUGUCAGAUUAGGUAGUUGGUGGGGUAGAGGCCUACCAAGCCUACGAUCUGUAGCUGGUCUGAGAGGACGACCAGCCACACUGGGACUGAGACACGGCCCAGACUCCUACGGGAGGCAGCAGAGGGGAAUUUUGGACAAUGGGGGCAACCCUGAUCCAGCCAUGCCGCGUGCGGGAAGAAGGCCUUCGGGUUGUAAACCGCUUUUGUCGGGGAAGAAAUCCUCCGGGCUAAUACCCCGGGGGGAUGACGGUACCCGGAGAAUAAGCACCGGCUAACUACGUGCCAGCCGCCGCCGUAAAAC